GAUGAACGCUAGCGACAGGCCUAACACAUGCAAGUCGAGGGGCAGCACGAAGUAAGCUUGCUUACUUUGGUGGCGACCGGCGCACGGGUGCGUAACAGGUGUGCAAUCUGUCCAUAAUCGGGGAAUAGCCCAGCGAAAGUUGGAUUAAUGCUCCAUGUGAGUUUUAGAGGCAUCUCUUUAAUUUGAAACGUAAGGAUUAUGGGUGAGCACGCUUCUGAUUAGGUAGUUGGUGAGGUAACGGCUCACCAAGCCGACGAUCAGUAGGGGUUCUGAGAGGAAGGUCCCCCACAUUGGAACUGAGACACGGUCCAAACUCCUACGGGAGGCAGCAGUGAGGAAUAUUGGUCAAUGGACGAAAGUCUGAACCAGCCAAGUCGCGUGAAGGAUGAAGGUUCUAUGGAUUGUAAACUUCUUUUGUCUGAGGGUAAAAAAGCGGACGUGUCCGUUCUUGCAAGUAUCAGACGAAUAAGCAUCGGCUAACUCCGUGCCAGCAGCCG
rnacentral:rRNA from 1 species